GACGAAGGGGGCUAGCGUUGUUCGGAAUUACUGGGCGUAAAGCGCGUGUAGGCGGUUGUUCAAGUCAGGUGUGAAAGCCUUGAGCUCAACUCAAGAAAUGCACUUGAUACUGGAUGACUAGAGGACCGGAGAGGAUAGUGGAAUUCCCAGUGUAGUGGUGAAAUUUGAUAAAAUUAGAGAGAAUACCAAUGGCGUAAGCAACUAUCUGGUCCUUAACUGAUACUGAGGUGCGAAGGUAUGGGGAGCGAAUAGG
rnacentral:rRNA from 1 species